rnacentral:ncRNA from 1 species
UUAAAGACUGUGAAGGAGAGAGUAGCUUAGAACUUAUUUUAUCAGGGAGAGGAUAUCAUAGACUGAGAGUAUCCUUAAAAUCAGACUAAGUGAAGUUCACUCUGGAGUUACUAGUUGAACUAUAGUUAUUGAUUUACUAUAAAAUAGGCUAUGUCGGUCUUCUGCCGUUAUCAGAAAUUAAGAGAAUCUAUUUUAGUUAUAAACUGAAAAAUAAUGGCUAUUAAGUAUUUAAUAGAUUAAGCAAGGUGGUACCGCGGAAGAUAAACUCUUUCGUCCUUAAU